UAUAAUCUGGUGUAUGGUGCACACAGGUCUUUGAAACCUGAGGACUUAGUUCAACUCUACCUAUUAUAA
rnacentral:tRNA from 1 species